rnacentral:rRNA from 1 species
GAUGAACGCUAGCGGCAGGCUUAAUACAUGCAAGUCAAGGGGGUAGCAAUACAACCGGCGCACGGGUGAGUAACGCGUACACAACAUACCAUAUACUGGAGUAUAGCUUUGGGAAACUGAAGGUAAUCCUCCAUAACAUUGCGAGAGGGCAUCUGAUUGCAAUUAAAGUUUCGGCGGUAUAUGAUUGGUGUGCGUUUGAUUAGCUAGUUGGUAGGGUAACGGCCUACCAAGGCGACGAUCAAUAGCUGGCGUGAGAGCGCGACCAGCCACACUGGAACUGAGACACGGUCCAGACUCCUACGGGAGGCAGCAGUAGGGAAUAUUGGACAAUGGAGGAAACUCUGAUCCAGCCAUGCCGCGUGAUAGAUGAAGGCCCUCUGGGUUGUAAAUAUCUUUUUAUCUGGGAAGAAACACUCCUAUUCUUAGGAACUUGACGGUACCAGAGGAAUAAGCACCGGCUAACUCCGUGCCAGCAGCCGCGGUAAUGUA